GGGGAGGGAGCUGUGACUCAGUGGCUUCCUGUGCCCGGGCGGGCCUCUCAUUAGAGUUAGACGAUACUGAUCACAGCACCCUUCUCAGUGGUACACUGGUGCUGGUGGAAGAUUGGUUAGUAAAACAAUCAAAGGAAAGUCGUCGUCUCCAAAAUGUUUUAUUGUAGAUCAAAAUGAUCAGAGGGUCCCAGGCCUGCCGCCUGAGUCAGGAAGACGUUUCUGUGGACAGGAGAGCAGAGAGAUGAGUGAAACCACAGAUGGAAAGCAAGGAGAGUGCCGUUUUACCACAGACCCCUGGAGCAAGGGUAUGUGCUUUCUGAUCAUGUCUGGUAAUACUUUACUCAACAACCAAAGAACAUCCAGCCGACUUGACAACUGUGGAAAGCAUUGGAGUCGACAUGGGCCAGCAUCUCUGUGGAACGCUUUCGACACCUUGUACAGUGGGGUGGGGGGACUGAAUUGUAAGUGUUGGGUGUUCUUAAUGUUUGGUAAUGUUUGGCCAUACCUCUCUCUUCAGCCACUCAUUCUCUUUGAUCUCCUGUCGGCUGUGCUUGUCAAGGUGUUUGAUGGCCCUCUGAGGAAAAAGUGUGUUAU